ensembl:lincRNA Gm14095 predicted gene 14095
AAGUGGUUAAGAACAGUGGACGAAUGUCUGAGUCCCAGCAUCCACACUAUGGCUCACAAUUGUCUGCAUAACCGGUUCUAGGGCACCUGGUGUCUUCUUCUGGCAUUCACGGGUACAGCAUGUAUGCGAUACAUAAUUACAAGCAAAAUACCCACGUGCAAAAAGUUAUUAUUAAACAUUUAUCUUCACUUGCUGAUGCCAUUUGAGAUGUGAUUGGAAACUUCAGUAGAUGGGACCUAAGGUCACAGGGGGCUUCUGAAAGAUGUACCUGCUUCCUGGUCACCAUGAGCAUCAUGACUAUUCAUGCUUAGCAAGAGAAAGACAUAGAAAGGAAGCAAGUGAGAAAGGAAGAAAAGAAAUCAUCUUUAUCAACACUCUACCAGAAGUCUUGGUGGUCUGAGAAGACUAUACAGCCACGGCCACUGCCCAGAAAGCUGCCAAGAUGUGGGAAUCCCCAGUGAGCAGAGACAGGGACAGAGGCACAUGGUAGCCUCUGCUCAUCUGCCUGUCCUGACCUC